GGCACCCCCUUUUACUUCAGUUGAAACUUUGGGGCCGGCUUCACUUUUAUUGAUACAUUAAAUAUAUGAAAGGGGGUUCUAGAAAAGGGGGUGUAGCUCAGUGGCAGAGCAUUUGACUGCAGAUCAAGAGGUCCCCAGUUCAAGUCUGGGUGCCCCCUUCUAUUUGAGUUGAAACCUUGGGGCCAACUUCACUUUCAUUGAUACAUUAAAUAUAUGGAAGGGGGCUCUAGAAAAGGGGGGUGUAGCUCAGUGGCAGAGCAUUUGACUGCAGAUCAAGAGGUCCCCAGUUCAAGUCUGGGUGCCCCCUUCUAUUUGAGUUGAAACUUUGGGGCUGGCUUCACUUUCAUUGAUACAUUAAAUAUAUGGAAGGGGGUUCUAGAAAAGGGGGUGUAGCUCAGUGGCAGAGCAUUUGACUGCAGAUCAAGAUGUCCCCAGUUCAAGUCUGGGUACCCCCUUUCAGUUGAGUUGAAACUUUGGGGCUAACUUCACUUUCAUUGAUACAUUAAAUAUAUGGAAGGGGGUUCUAGAAAAGGGGGUGUAGCUCAGUGGCAGAGCAUUUGACUGCAGAUCAAGAGGUCCCCAGUUCAAGUCUGGGUGCCCCCUUUCAGUUGAGUUGAAACUUUGGGGCUUGCUUCACUUUCAUUGAUACAUUAAAUAUAUGGAAGGGGGCUCUAGAAAAGGGGGUUGUAGCUCAGUGGCAGAGAAUUUGACUGCAGAUCAAGAGGUCCCCAGUUCAAGUCUGGGUGCCCCCUUUCAGUUGAGUUGAAACUUUGGGCCUGGCUUCACUUUCAUUGAUACACUAAAUAUAUGAAAGGGGGUUCUAGAAAAGGGGGUUGUAUCUCAGUGACAGAGCAUUUGACUGCAGAUCAAGAGGUCCCCAGUUCAAAUCUGGGUGCACCCUUUUAGUUCAGUUGAAACUUUGGGGCCGGCUUCACUUUUAUUGAUACAUUAAAUAUAUGAAAGCGGGUUCUAGAAAAGGGGAGUGUAGCUCAGUGGCAGAGCAUUUGACUGCAGAUCA